rnacentral:rRNA from 1 species
CCUACGGGAGGCUGCAGUGGGGAAUAUUGCACAAUGGGGGGAACCCUGAUGCAGCGACGCCGCGUGAGCGAUGAAGUAUUUCGGUAUGUAAAGCUCUAUCAGCAGGGACGAAAAUGACGGUACCUGACUAAGAAGCCCCGGCUAACUACGUGCCAGCAGCCGCGGUAAUACGUAGGGGGCAAGCGUUAUCCGGCUUUACUGGGUGUAAAGGGAGCGUAGACGGCUGGGCAAGUCUGGAGUGAAAGGCAUGGGCUCAACCUGUGGACUGGUUGGGAAACUGUGCGGCUUGAGUGACGGAGAGGCAAGUGGAAUUCCUAGUGUAGCGGUGAAAUGCGUAGAUAGUAGGAGGAACACCAGUGGCGAAGGCGGCUUGCUGGACGAUGACUGACGUUGAGGCUCGAAAGCGUGGGGAGCAAACAGGAUUAGAUACCCUUGUAGUC